rnacentral:rRNA from 1 species
AACGAACGCUGGCGGCGUGCCUAAUACAUGCAAGUCAAACGAGGAAAGGGUUCGCCCAAGUACUAGUGGCGCACGGGUGAGGAAUACAUGGAUAAUCUGCCUCAAAGAGGGGGAUAACCGUCCGAAAGGAUGGCUAAUACCGCAUAAGACCACAGGAUCUGCGGAUCCAGGGGUUAAAGGUUUUUCGCUUUGAGAUGAGUCCAUGUGGGAUUAGCUAGUUGGUAGGGUAAUGGCCUACCAAGGCAAUGAUCCCUAGCUGGUCUGAGAGGAUGAUCAGCCACACUGGAACUGAGACACGGUCCAGACUCCUACGGGAGGCAGCAGUAGGGAAUAUUGCGCAAUGGGAGGAAACUCUGACGCAGCGACGCCGCGUGAGUGAUGAAGGCCUUCGGGUCGUAAAGCUCUGUCGCGAGGGGAAUAAAAAA